rnacentral:rRNA from 1 species
UACGUAGGGGGCGAGCGUUGUCCGGAUUUAUUGGGCGUAAAGAGCUCGUAGGCGGCUUGGCAAGUCGGGUGUGAAACCUCCAGGCUCAACCUGGAGACGCCACUCGAUACUGCUAUGGCUAGAGUCCGGUAGGGGACCACGGAAUUCCUGGUGUAGCGGUGAAAUGCGCAGAUAUCUGGAGGAACACCGGUGGCGAAGGCGGCGUUCUGGACUGCAACUGACACUGAGGAACGAAAGCCAGGGGAGCAAACGGG